CUGGCUCCCAGCGCCCCGCCCCCCCCUCUGCAUCGGGGGCUGCGGGCACCAUGGGGACUGGCCGCUGCCCCGGGCCCCCCAGGCGGGCAUCUGCGGCCGGACUCCUGCGCCGGACUGACCGGCCGCCGGAGGCCCUGAUGGGCGGCCAGACUCGGAGUCCCCGGGCCAAGCCCCGCCCGCCCCAUCCUCCUGAGCCGCGCUGGCAGGAAGCCGCCCUGCAGCGGUGUCCCUCGGCCACCUGCUGGGCCUAGCGGCUGCAGGGCCCGGCCAGCCUGCCCGAUCCCGCCGCCCGUGGGCUUAGGUUAGCUUUGUGCCUUAGCACCUCAGCCACCAGCCGGGCCUGCACCGCGCCCUGCGCCCUGCCCCCAGCCGGCGUGGCCCGUGCCCCAGCCCCCUCGAGCUUUGCAGGAGCGUGGGACCGACGGAGGUGGCCCAGCGUGCCCGCGCCGGGGCCUCAGUCACCGCGGACGCUGGACCCCUCCUGGAGCUGGGGGCCGGCCCCGGACUGAAGACCGCGCGCUCUCCCGCUGACCGCGCACCCUGGACAACUGCCCCAGUGCCCGCGUCCCUCUCCCCACCUCUGUGCCCUGCUGUGCCGCCUGCGUGUGCCAGGCCUCGGCGUCCAAACGUCCGUGUCCAUCGUUCUCAGACCAGAAA